ACGGCAGCACGGACUUCGGUCUGGUGGCGAGUGGCGAACGGGUGAGUAAUAUAUCGGAACGUACCCUGGAGUGGGGGAUAACGCAGCGAAAGUUGCGCUAAUACCGCAUACGAUCUACGGAUGAAAGUGGGGGCUCGCAAGACCUCAUGCUCGUGGAGCGGCCGAUAUCUGAUUAGCUAGUUGGUAGGGUAAAAGCCUACCAAGGCUUCGAUCAGUAGCUGGUCUGAGAGGACGACCAGCUACACUGGGACUGAGACACGGCCCAGACUCCUACGGGAGGCAGCAGUGGGGAAUUUUGGACAAUGGGGGCAACCCUGAUCCAGCAAUGCCGCGUGAGUGAAGAAGGCCUUCGGGUUGUAAAGCUCUUUUGUCAGGGAAGAAACGGUGAAGGCUAAUACUCUUUGCUAAUGACGGUACCUGAAGAAUAAGCACCGGCUAACUACGUGCCAGCAGCCGCGGUAAUACGUAGGGUGCAAGCGUUAAUCGGAAUUACUGGGCGUAAAGCGUGCGCAGGCGGUUAUGUAAGUCAGAUGUGAAAUCCCCGGGCUCAACCUGGGAAUGGCAUUUGAGACUGCAUGGCUAGAGUGUGUCAGAGGGGGGUAGAAUUCCACGUGUAGCAGUGAAAUGCGUAGAUAUGUGGAGGAAUACCGAUGGCGAA
rnacentral:rRNA from 1 species